rnacentral:rRNA from 1 species
UCGAGAAUAGUCUACAAUGGACGGAAGUCUGAUAGUGCGACGCCGCGUGAACGAAGAAUCCCUUCGGGGUGUAAAGUUCUUUUAUACGUGAGCAGUGUCCUUUAUAUUAAUAGUAUAAGGGGAGAGAUAUUAGCGUAUGAAUAAGCAACGGCUAACUCCGUGCCAGCAGCCGCGGUAACACGGGGGUUGCGAGCGUUGUCCGGAAUUACUAGGCGUAAAGUGCAGGUAGGCGGAUAAAUAAGUUUAAGGUUAAAGGCUACGGCUUACCCGUAGUAAGGCGUUAGAUACUGUUUAUCUGGAAUGCGGUUGAGGGAGACAGAAUUCCUGGUGUAGCGGUGGAAUGCGCAGAGAUCAGGAGGAAUACCGAAGGCGAAGGCAGUCUUCUAAGCCGAUAUUGACGCUAAACUGCGAAGGUGUGGGGAUCAAACAG